rnacentral:lncRNA from 1 species
UGCAAAAAGGAGAAAGGAAUUAGAAUUAGGACUUACCUAUGCUUAAAGGCGUUCAAGAGAAACUAGGUCUCAUGCCUUUAGAAUGCUAAACUUGUUGAAGAGGAACUAGGCCUCAUGCCUUUAUAAUGCUAAAUCUUAAAGUUGACUUCAAAGGACCCCUAAUCUAAACUCAUUAUUUGUCCAUUCCUCUUAUUGUGUUGUGAACUUUUUGAUGUUUGCUCUUGUGUGAUAGGGAUUCCAUCUUGAGAUAGUAAGAAGGACCAUUGUCAUGAGUAGCCAAGUAAAGAGAGACAAUCCAAAUGGAAAUCCUAGGAGCUUGAAUCCAAAUAUUGUGUGAUUACUUGUUGUUUGCUAUGUCCAAAGGAAAGGAGCAUCUUGAAUCAUCUUUAUGAUCUCAAGAAAAGGAACUCCAAGGGUUUCAUCUUCUCUCUUAUCCUUGUAUGCUUUAGGACUAGCCCUUCUCUUCUUCUCCUCACUCUAACCCAAGCCAAACUCAUUUUGUGCAAACUUUGACAUUAUUUUCAAAUUAGAAACCUAGGCCUUAUGCCUUUGACUUUUCAAAAUCUUUUCAUUAAUACUCAUUGUGAAUGAAUCUUAAUUAGUGCAAACUUUGACAUUAUUUUCAAAUUAGAAACCUAGGCCUUAUGCCUUUGACUUUUCAAAAUCUUUUCAUUAAUACUCAUUGUGAAUGAAUCUUAAUUCAACUUUGACUUCAUUUUGUAAAUAAGUCUAACUUGUAAAUACAACUCACUUCAAGUUGUUUUUGUGGUUCCAAUGGUCACCUUUGUUUAAACCUUUCAUAAACAUUAACCAUAGGUUUGAGUUAUCAUAGUGGUUGAUGUAAACCUCACCUUAUCCUUAGUGAUUGGACUAUAAGUCUUCCAUACUUAUUAUAGGGUUAACCCCUCACUAUUAUGUUGAAGCUCUCCUCACAUGGUGGAUUAUUGGUUUAGGUUGAGUUUUCUCCCUUUGAUAACAAAAGACCUUGAGGCCUUUGUUCAAAUCAAUUCACCAAUCUUUGUGAUUUUUACCGCGAACUACGAGGUUUUGAUCCUACCUUUUUGAUGGUACAUAGGCAAUGGAUUCAUCCAUUCAAACAACAAAAUUGUAAAUAUAACAUAUUCUUUUCUCAUCCCCCCAAUCUUUUGCACAUAUUUUCACAAAUACCAACCUACAACACAUGUUUGCAAAAAGAGGUUCCCUUAGAGUAUUAAGGAUGUUUUGGGUGCAUAAAACCUUCCUAUCUCAUAACUAACCCCCUUACCUAGAUCUCUGACAUUUUUAUUAGUUUUUGAUUUGAUAAAACUUCUUACUUGGCUUUUGUUCACUUUUUAGCCUUUCCUUUGGACAAAUAAAAGUGUGGUGACGACUCGAAUUUGUAUGUUUACUUUUGGUUUAGUCAAUAAACCUAAAGGUAACGAAAUCCCCGCUACACAAACAAUCAAUGUGCAAAAGUUCUAACAGUCUAGAGGUAGAAACAACAUCUUUCACUUUGAAAUAUGUUUUAGAAAAUUUGCCUUUCUGACAUGCUUCACAAAGAGUAUCUGAAGCAAACUUCAGGUUAGGUAAGCCUCUGACUAAUCCAAGUUUAUUUAGCUGAGAAAUCAUUCUCAUGCUAACAUGGACCAAACAUCCAUGCCAUACACAUUGCUCCUCAUUAACAAACAUUAAGCAUUUUACAUUUUGAUCCUUAAGAUCAUAAAGUCUAAUUUUAUAAAUGUUAUUCUUCUUCUUCCCGUUAAAAAGGAUUGUGCCAUCUUUCUGACUAACAACUUUACAAUACUUUUGAUUAAAAAGGAUAUCAUAACCAUUUUCACUAAGUUGACUAAUAGAAAAUAAGUUAUGCAUCAAACUAUCAACUAAAAGAAAAUUAUUAAUAGAAUGAAGUUUACCAUUACUAACAGUUCCAGAGCCAAUGAUCUUUCCUUUCUAGUUUCCUCCAAACCCAACAAAGCCUUCAGGCUUAAGUUCCAAAUCUUGGAACAUAGACCUUAUGCCUGUCAUAUGUCGCGAGCAUCAACUGCUCAGGUGUCAUACCCCAAAAUUUACCCUCCCUUUUUUUUCCGUUUGAAUAUCUCAUUUUCAUACAUUAAAUCAUAUCAUGCAUGACCAUUGUUUGGUCAUGGUAUCACAAGCAUGGCCACAUUAUGGUUUGUAUCUUAACACUAGGGUUUCAUCUUGCUUUGCUUAUAAACUAACCCUAACUUCAAUAAGAGAUGAUACUUGGUUGUUCUUGUUACUCAUAUAGGUAAUCAUACUCCAAAUCAAGGCAAGAUAAAGGCCUUUUGAUCAAGGGAAAUGCAAGUUUUCUCAUUGUGAUUGUUUCCAUGCCACAUCACUCAAUCUUUAAGAUAUUCCCAAGAUCACUCAAGCCCUAACCAAAUUUUUAUCAAGGGUUGCUUAUUCUAUCAUCAUGGUGGCUUGAAAUGCAAGAAAACAUCAAGUUUGCACAAAGGGGUAUAGGUUGGUUUGACUUAAUUUUUAAGUAUGCCAUACCUUUGGUCCAAACUCCAUGACUCCUUUAAUUUUAUCCAAUUACCAAGAUUCUUUGAGCCAAAUGUGACUUUUGAGCCCCUCUCUAACUUUUAUUCAAGGGUAAACCAUAAAUGAAAUCAUUAAGGACCUCAUUUAUGCAAAGGACUAAGUUCCCAAAAUAGGCUAAAACCUUACCAUGACCACUACUUUUCGACCUUGCCAUUUUCAGCUCAAGUACUCUUUUGAUCCCAUUCCUUUUGCAUGUUGUUAAGCUUAUGUAAAAGAUAAGUUGGCCCAAGUUUGGCUCAAAAUGCAUGAGGGAAUAAAAAGUUAUGGUGUCAUUAACUUGGGACCUCAAAAUGAUUAAACAUGCCUCAAACUGCUUGACCAAUUGCUCAGCCUAAAACUCAGGUCACGACCCCAACUUCCCAACCAUGUAACUUCCACCUCAAACAUCCUUUGGACUUGGUUCUUUUGGCAUUAUGUUUUACUCCAUGAAGAGAUCAUUUGUCUCAUAUAAAAAAAUGGAAAACACAUAAGUGUAGUAGUAUUGGACCAAGCAUGAACAUGGUAACCUGCGUUCUUCUUGGAUUUGACUUCUCCACCCCCCCGCCCCGUUUCCAUGAUCCAUCAGACUCUUGUGGUAUUGCAUGAUGAGUAUUUUAAAAAAGAAAAGAGCCCAACUUUUUAUCAAGGGUUUCUUAUUAUAUCAUCAUGGCGGCUUGAAAUACAAGAAAACAUCAAAUUUGCACAAUGGGGUAGAGGUUAGUUUGACCUAAUUGCAAGUAUGCCAUGCCUUUGGUCCAAACUCCAUGACUCCUUCAAUUUUAUCCAAUUACCAAGAUUCUUUGAGCCAAAUGUUCCUUUUGAGCCACUCUACAACUUUGAUUCAAGGGUAAAACAUCAAUUAAAUCAUUAAGGAUCUCAUUUAUGCAAAGGACCAAGUUUCCAAAAUGGGCCAAAACCAUACCCAUGAACACUACUUUUCACCCUUGCCAUUUUCAGCUCAAGUAUUCUUUUUGCAUGUUGUUAAGCUUAUGUAAAAGAUCAUCUGUCCCAACUUUGGCUCAAAAUGCACGAGAAAAUCAAAAGUUAUGGUGUCAUCAACUUGGGACCUCAAAAUGACCAAACAUGCCUCAAACUCCUUGACCAAUUGCUCAGCCUAAAACUCAAGUCACGACCCCAACUUCCCAACCAUGUAACUUCCACCUCAAACAUAUUUUGGACUUGGUUCUUUUUACAUUGUGUUCUACUCCAUGAAGAGAUCAUUUGACUCAAAUAAAAAUGUAAAACACACAAGUGGAUUGAAGCUGGAUCAAGCAUGAACAUGGUAACCUGCGUUAUUCUUGGAUUCACCUUCUCCCCCCUCCCCCCUUUCCAUGAUCUAUCAGACGCCUUGUGGCAUUGCAUGAUGAGUAUUGAAAAAAGAAAAUAGCCCAUAAAAUAGAGAGAAGCGGGACUCUAUUGAUGGUUUCAAGUUACUCAAAAAUCGUAGAGUAUUAUUAUAAGGUAUUUUUAAGUAAUAAUUUUACAUUAUUUAGGCUCAACUUUGUGUUUAUUACAAUUUAGAUAUUUUAUAAAUUAUAGUUUAAUUUGGUGGCCACCCCUAUCUUUGUAAUCUGGUUCCACCACUGACAAAGUUCAUACAAAGCUUUGCUCGUUCUUUAAAUGAGCUUCUGUAAGGGGCAAUGAGAUUGACCCUGUGGAUUAGUCGAUCGUAAAAUAAAAUACCAAACUUUCAAAUAUAUAUAUAUAUAUAUAUAUAACAAAACAUGUCCCUUUUCUAUCAUGAAAGAUUGAAAACUUACAUAAAAAAUAUUGAGUCCUAACCAUUAGAAUUUAUUAAAAAGGCAAAUGGGGUAUUAAGAAAAUGUAUCAAAGAGGCAAAACACACGUCGAUCUAUUCACUUGACAUUUCUUUGGUGUGUAAAAGGGACAAAUAAAAUUUAUUAAUCUACUAUAAGUUAAAAAUAUUUAAUUGUUUUUAAUAUUGCAUAAGCUUUACACACUAUAAAAUGAACAAAGUAUAUUCUAUUUAUUAUAUACAAAAGUAAAAAGAAAAUAUGACUAAACCUCUCAAAUUUGUUAAUGCUAUAAUUUUAUUUAUUUCUCUAUUCCUUCUUUCAAAGAAGACUUGUGGUAAACCAUUUCCCCCUCUAUAAAUUUUCGUCUUUAUUAUGUAGUACUUAAUACAAUUUUUUAUUUCAUUUUAAUAUCAUUAAUUUAUUCUACUUUCACAGAGGCAGUUGUUAGAUGUGAAAAGGAUGAAGAUUGUCCAAUAUCUGGCUUUGAGCCUUUAAUUUUUAAGUGCAUUAACAAUUUAUGUGAAGCAGUUAAAAAGGAUCCAAAAGCGCCUAUAGUUUUUACUUAGUUAUGAUUUUGUAUUCUAAAAUAUUAUUAAUGAAAUAAAAUAAAAUAAUAAAGAUUACUAUAAUCAUGUUUUCUCAUUCUCUCUUAAUUUCAGAGGUAUACCAUGCCCUUUAAAUUUGAGAUAUUAUUAAUGAAUUUUGUUAUAAUUAAAACAUA